AUCUAUGGCCAUAUCACCCUGAACACGCCCGAUCUCGGCUGAUCUCGGAAGCUAAGCAGGGUCGGGCCUGGUUAGUACUUGGAUGGGAGAUAUAAGAGGGUGUGUGUGUUGGUGUGGGGG
ensembl:rRNA 5S_rRNA 5S ribosomal RNA